CGACGCCGACACAGCAAUGUGUGGCAUACGGCUCAGUAACACGUAGUCAACAUGCCCAGGGGACGUGGAUAACCUCGGGAAACUGAGGAUAAACCGCGAUAGGUCACUACUUCUGGAAUGGGUAAUGACCCAAACCUAUAUGGCCCCUGGAUUGGACUGCGGCCGAUCAGGCUGUUGGUGAGGUAAUGGCCCACCAAACCCGUAACCGGUACGGGCUCUGAGAGGAGGAGCCCGGAGAUGGGCACUGAGACAAGGGCCCAGGCCCUAUGGGGCGCAGCAGGCGCGAAACCUCUGCAAUAGGCGAAAGCUUGACAGGGUUACUCUGAGUGAUUUCCGUUAAGGAGAUCUUUUGGCACCUCUAAAAAUGGUGCAGAAUAAGGGGUGGGCAAGUCU
rnacentral:rRNA from 1 species